UCCCAGGCAAGAAUGCUAGAGUGGGUUGCCAUUCCCUUGUCCAGGGGAUUUUUCCAACCCAGGGAUCGAACCCACUUCUCUUGCAUUGGCAGGUGGAUUAUUUACCAGAGCCGCCAGGGAAGGCCAGUGCUCUCAGAACAAGGUCCAGACUCCUUAGCCUGGCACUCAAGAUCCUUUGCAACCUGGCCUCGCUUUAUUCACGCUGCCCCCUCUCCAGGGCAGCCACAGGCAGGGGCAGGGGUUUUCUGAACACAGACACACCCACAAAUCCCCCAGCUUGGGAAGCCUGCAGCUCCUUACCUCUGUUUAGGAAUGUCCCAUUGCUCUCUGCCCAAGGCCCAUGUUCAGGGUCCCUUCUCUUUCGACCUUUCACCUCUCCAGCCUCUCCAGGGUUCCGCCCCUGGGCGGGGGAGGGGGGGGCCCUACCUGGCACCCCACCCCCCCAUUCCAGCCAGGGGCUAAGGUCUCCAACAACAGAACCAGAGCCACUCAGCAACGCUGGAACCCAUUCGGGGGGGCCUGGGGCCCCUCAUCCCAAGCCAGGAGGGCUUUGGGGGAGGGGUGCGGCCCCUGGCAGACUCACUGUGUGGCCCAGGGGUCUGGGGGUUGCCAGGGAGGUGGGGGCGAACCUUGCAGGGCAAGGCACGAGUGCGGUCCUCUUUGCCCCACUGUGGGGGCCUUGGGGCCAGUGUCGGGGCAGGAGGCCUCGGAGGCAGAGCCCGCGGAGCAGGGGUGGCGGCAGGCCGACGUUCAGAGGCAGGGACACCAUGGCCACCAUCCAGUCGGAGACUGACUGCUACGACAUCAUCGAGGUGCUGGGCAAGGGCACUUUCGGGGAGGUGGCCAAGGGCUGGCGGCGAAGCACAGGCGAGAUGGUGGCCAUCAAGAUCCUGAAGAAUGACGCCUACCGUAACCGGAUCAUCAAGAACGAGCUGAAGCUGCUGCGCUGCAUGCGGGGCCUGGACCCCGAGGAGGCCCACAUCAUCCGCUUCCUCGAGUUCUUCCACGACGCCCUCAAGUUCUACCUGGUCUUCGAGCUGCUGGAGCAAAACCUUUUCGAAUUCCAGAAGGAGAACAACUUCGCGCCCCUCCCCGCCCGCCACAUCCGCACGGUCACCCUGCAGGUGCUCCGGGCCCUGGCCAGGCUCAAGGAACUAGCCAUCAUCCAUGCUGAUCUCAAGCCCGAGAACAUCAUGCUGGUGGACCAGACCCGCUGUCCCUUCAGGGUCAAGGUGAUCGACUUUGGCUCGGCCAGCAUAUUCAGCGAGGUGCGUUACGUCAAGGAACCCUACAUCCAGUCCCGCUUCUACCGGGCCCCUGAGAUUCUACUGGGGCUGCCCUUCUGCGAGAAGGUGGACGUGUGGUCCCUGGGCUGCGUCAUGGCCGAGCUGCACCUGGGCUGGCCCCUCUACCCGGGCAACAAUGAGUAUGACCAGGUGCGUUACAUCUGUGAGACACAGGGCCUGCCCAAGCCCCACCUGCUGCAUGCCGCCCGCAAGGCCCACCACUUCUUCAAGCGCAACCCGCACCCCGACGCCGCCAACCCCUGGCAGCUGAAGUCCUCGGCUGACUACCUGGCUGAGACCAAGGUGCGCCCACUGGAGCGCCGUAAGUACAUGCUCAAGUCACUGGACCAGAUCGAGACAGUGAAUGGCAUCGGGGUGGCCAGUCGGCUGACCUUCCCGGACCGCGAGGUGCUGGCGGAGCACGCCGAUCUCAAGAGCAUGGUGGAGCUGAUCAAGCGCAUGCUGACCUGGGAGUCGCACGAACGGAUCAGCCCCAGCGCCGCCCUGCGCCACCCCUUCGUGUCCAUGCAGCAGCUGCACAGCGCCCACGAAACCACCCGCUACUACCAGCUCUCGCUGCGCAGCUGCCGCCUGUCCCUGCAGGUGGAGGGCAAGCCACCCACGUCGGUCUUGGCCGCCGCGGAAGAUGGGCCCCCCUACUACCGUCUGGCCGAGGAGGAGGCGGCCAUGGGCCUGGGCAGCACGGGGGGCAGCGGGCCCUUCUUCCGAGAGAAGGCCCCCAGCAUGCAGAGGGCCAUCGAUCAGCUGGACGACCUGAGCCUGCAGGAGGUGGGGCGUGGGCUCUGGGGCGAGACUCAUGCCGAUGUGGUCCCCGACGUGCUGGCCCCACUCAAGGCCGCCGCUGUGGGCCGCCGGCUGCCCGAGUCCAGCCCUGAGCCCAUCCUGGCCUUCUACGGCACCCGCCUGGUGGGCCGCCACAAGGUCCGCAAGGCACCGGCAGGCUCCAAGUCUGACUCCAACUUCAGCAACCUGAUCCGGCUGAGCCAGGCCUCACCUGAGGACGACGCCCCGUGCAGGGCCAGCGGCUGGGCAGAAGGAGAGCACCUUGGGGCCUCUGCCGAGCCGCCUGUCAUCCCACAGCGUGACGGGGAUGGGCCGGACAUCAAGGACAUGACCAUGGAUGCUGAGCCCGCCAGGCUCUUCUGUCCAUGAAGAUUCUCCAGGCAAGAAUACUGGAAUGGGUUGCCAUGCCCUCCUCCAGGGGAUCUUCCCGACCCAGGGAUGGAAACUGCACCUCCUGCACUGGCAGUGAAUUCUUUACCCGCUGAGCCACGGGGGAAGCCCUCUAAUCACUCUUGUCCCUGACUGGCUCACAGCCCACCGCCAUGGCACUCCUCAUGUGCCCCUGCACCCCAGGAGCUUCACCCAGCCCCCUCCACCCUCCCAACAGCCUUGACCCUGUUGGGUUGACACCGCCUGGUGACAGGCCCGUCUCCACCCUGGACCACGAGUUCCAAGAGGCCUAUCUGUUGCCAUCACGUUCUCAGCGUCAGAACAGGGCUGGGCUUAGAGCAGGCUCUCCGGAAGUGAGUAGUGAAGGUCAUGUGGGUGGACAGGGCCUUGGAUGCCGUAUAAAGGGGCUGGCAGGUGCCAUCAGGGAUCAGAGGGGCUUCCAUGAGCAAGGGGAGGGUGGUGGAGGGCGGGACUGGGGUAUGCUUCAGGAGGGCUGGUAAGAGGAGGUGGGGUACGGUUGGAGGCUGGGAGCCCCACGAGGCAGGGAGUGACCUAGAAGGGCAGUGGGCAGGGCUCAGGCAGACCUGGGUCAGGGAGCGCCAAUCCAUGUUGGCACUGCCGAGGUAGAAGUGGGUCUGGUCCACCACCCAGAACUUGGUGUGCAGGACGCCAUGGGUCAGCUUCUGCAUGUCCACCAUGCGGACCUGGGCACCUGGACCGACAGGGGUGGAGGUCAGGAGCUGGCUUGGGGAGCUCCAGACCCAGCCCACCCCCAGUGGCCCUCUAGCUCACCGCUCUGUAGCAGCGCCUGCAGGUCUGCCUGAGGCUGGGGCCCAUUGGGCUUGCUCACAGCAAUGCGGACCUUCACACCUCGGGGUGCCAGAGUCUGCAGCUGCCGGAGGACCUCCUCGCCCUGGAGGGAGGAGACAGCUUCUGAGGGGAUGGAUCAGCUGGCUCUCGAGCCCCAUGGAGCACCCCACGGAGUCAUUUUGAGAUUAGGCUUCUAGAUCUGAUCAGGCUUUACAUUAAUACAGUUAGGAAAAGCUUUACAGGUUAAGAAGUUAAAACCUUACUUUAUCUGUUUUAUUUAUUGUUUUGGUUGUGCUGUGCAGCAUGAGGGAUCCUAGUUCUUCAACGAGGGAUCGAACCCAUGCCCCCUAUAUUCAGAACACGGAGUCUUAACCACUGGACCAACAGUCCGGAAGUGUCUAUCUAUUUUAAUACCUGGCUGCUCUGAGCCCUGUUAGGGCCUCCCUGCCAUUCCUGCCCUUCACAGGUCCUUCCCAAGACCCUGACCCGGUAGUUAUCCACGCCUGACACAGCAGGGGUCUCUAGGCACCUUGCAGAAUGUUAAAGGCACAGCGCAGACUUGGGAGUCUGGGAAGACCUAGGUAAGGCUUGAUGAUGCUCAUAACAGUAACAGCCAAUGAUUCCCUUGUCUCUACUGUGAGCCAGGCCCCUUCUGAGCCCCUUUAUACCCGAACUCUGAAUUCUCACAGCUGUCAUUGGUAAGGCAAGUCUGAGUUUAUCCCAAAGUGCAGACGAAGAAACGGAGCGUUGGAGAAAUCAACAAGAAAGCAGGAUUUGAACUCAGACCGUCUGCCUUCUAUGUCUGUGCUUUGUGCUUUGAAUCACUCCAGUAGGAACCAGCAGGGCAUGGAAGCUCAUACCUUUUUUUUUAAGCUUGAAGGAUCUUAGUUCCCUGAUCAGGGAUUGAACUCGCACCCUUGGCAGUGAACGCUCAGAGCCCUAACCACUGGACUACCGGGGAAUUUCCAGCUCAUAUAAUUUUUAACUGUUGUGCAUUUUUUCCAGGCACUGUUUAAUGAUCCCCACAAUUUUAAUACAUUUAAAGUCUACCUCUGACAAAGAGUGGCAGCAGGGAAAAGGAAGAAGAGCGACAAAUUCACUACGUCUUUCAAAGAAGGGCUUAGCCACCUAGGCUGUUCCUUUUCAAAUCUUGGAGUUUUAUGCUUUUUAAGUUUGCCUGCAGACCCUAACAAGGCUAUCACAGUAAAUGCUUAUAAAGGGCUGACUCUUGUCAGGCACUGCUCUCAUUGGCUGGGAUCAGCCCGUUUCAUCUUCACAAGAGGUGAACACUAGAUAAUGGCCCCAUUCUACAGAUGAAGAAAAUGAAGACUGCAAGAUGAGGUGACCUGCCUGAGGUCACAGAGCUGGCACGCAGAAGCCUGGCUUGAGGCUGGGCUGGUACUCAGUCCAUGUUUCCAUUUCUUUGUGUGACAGGCUCAGGGAAGGAAGCUUGUGGGUGAGCAAUAUCUGCUAGCCUAAUCCCUCGUAACCGAACCCAUGCCCUGACAUUCAGAGGCCUCCAGAUGACCGUGACAAAACACCCCCAGUCCCGCAGGCCAUGUGAAGACAGUUGCUUCCAAACACUUUUGUCCAACCCACUACGUGAGACAUGCCAGUCUGUCUCCUGGGCUGGAGGGAAACCCCUUUCAUUUCCCUGCCUCUGAUGCCUCCCACCACCCCUGCUGCCAGCCAGGGCCCAGGUUGCCAGGUACCUGCUG